UCACUCCCUCCACUCCCCUUACGCUAACCUGAACGCCACAGCACUGAGCAUCGGGGGACUGAUUCUUGGCUAUUGUUUCCAUCCCUGUUCAAAGCCUCCCAGCCUGUUUUCCCAUCUCUACUCUCCCUCUCUAUGCCUACAAUCCAUUUGCUACAGAUUAAAGCUUACGUGAUUAACUGGAUGACAUGUCCAGUCGACACUUCUACUGCACACCCAUCAUGCUGCAGGCAUCGCACCAGUGAGAGAAAGCAAGGAGGAGAGGCAGUGAGGCCACUGGACUCGGCACAGCUUCAAGGCGAGUGCGGGAUGACAAGCAAUUGCAUACUUAACUAGCAACCAGGCAUACGGAAUGAAUGUUUUACUGUUUGUAAGAGCAAGGAACAGAAGACAGAAUGCAGCCCAGGUGGAGUGACAGCAAGCGAGGAAGAGGCAAAGAGGGGAGGCAGGUACUCUUCCAGCCACUGGAUCAUUCUUCAAAUGGUCACAAAAGCCAUGGCAGGAUCUCCACGCUGCUCCCCCUCGGAUCAUCACCAGCUGCCUCCCAGGUUCAUCAGGGAGCUUCUGGCUUGGAAGCAGAGCCUGCACUUGAAUCUAGGCACUCUGGUGUGGGGUGCAAAUGCCCCCAGCAGCAUCUCAACUGAUGUGCCAUAUGUCAUGUGCCAGGAAUUCUCCAAUCUUUUCAUCUAAACUUCUGAAUUGCAUAGAGGAACCUGUUCCAAGUGCUCAUUUUACCUACAGUGUAAUUGUAGUAACAUAAAGCAGUGUUUUGGACUGAACUGUAUUCAUUCAAAAGGUUGUACUGAAGUCUUAAUUACUGGUACCCCAGAAUACAACUUCAUUUGCAAAUAA